AAAAAGACAAACCCUGGUUUCCGUGCCCAACGUUUGACCGUCCGUCUUAUUUGAAAAAAUUAUGAAAAAAAUUAAAAAGACAAGUCACGCAUAAAAUAUUAAUCAUAUUUUAUCAUCUAAUAACAAUAAAAAUAGAAUUAUAAAAAAUUUUCAUAUAAGACAGACAGUUAAAAUUGGACACGGAAACUCAGGGUUUGCCUUUUU
rnacentral:pre_miRNA from 1 species